AGCCUGAUGCAGCCAUGCCGCGGUGUGUGACAGAAGGCCUUCGGGUUGUAAAGCACUUUCAGUCGUGAGGAAGGUAGUGUAGUUAAUAGCUGCAUUAUUUGACGUGAGCGACAGAAGAAGCACCGGCUAACUCCGUGCCAGCAGCCGCGGUAAUACGGAGGGUGCGAGCGUUAAUCGGAAUUACUGGGCGUAAAGCGCAUGCAGGUGGUUUGUUAAGUCAGAUGUGAAAGCCCGGGGCUCAACCUCGGAAUGGCAUUUGAAACUGGCAGACUAGAGUACUGUAGAGGGGGGUAGAAUUUCAGGUGUAGCGGUGAAAUGCGUAGAGAUCUGAAGGAAUACCGGUGGCGAAGGCGGCCCCCUGGACAGAUACUGACACUCAGAUGCGAAAGCGUGGGGAGCAAACAGGAUUAGAUACCCUGGUAGUCCACGCCGUAAACGAUGUCUACUUGGAGGUUGUGGCCUUGAGCCGUGGCUUUCGGAGCUAACGCGUUAAGUAGACCGCCUGGGGAGUACGGUCGCAAGAUUUAAAACUCAAAUGAAUUGACGGGGGCCCGCACAAGCGGUGGAGCAUGUGGUUUAAUUCGAUGCAACCGCGAAGAACCUUACCUUACUCUUGACAUCCAGAGAACUUUCCAGAGAUGGAUUGGUGCCUUCGGGAACUCUGAGACAGGUGCUGCAUGGCUGUCGUCAGCUCGUGUUGUGAAAUGUUGGGUUAAGUCCCGCAACGAGCGCAACCCUCUAUCCUUGUUUGCCAGCGAGUAAUGUCGGGAACUCCAGGGAGACUGCCGGUGAUAAACCGGAGGAAGGGUGGGGACGACGUUCAAGAUCAUCAUGGCCCUUACCGAAUGACGGGCACACCACCUCGGUGCAAACACCCGGCGACAGCACAAGCGGG
rnacentral:rRNA from 1 species